CCUAAGGCGAGGCCGACAGGCGUAGUCGAUGGACAACGGGUUGAUAUUCCCGUACCCGCAAAGGAACGCCCAUGAUGAGCCCGGUGUUGCUAACCACCCGAGCCCGCAUCCGACUUCGGUUGGGUGUUGGGGGAGCGUGGGACCCGAUCCGGUAGUAGUCAAGCGAUGGGGUGACACAGGAAGGUAGCUCCGCCAGUGAGUGGUAGUACUGGUGUAAGGGUGUAGGUAGCGGGGGUAGGCAAAUCCGUCUCCGUGUUGAUCUGAGACCUGAUGCAUAGCCGAUUGAGGCGAAGUAGAGUGAUCCUAGGCUGUCGAGAAAAGCCUCUAGCGAGUUCCGAGUGGCCCGUACCCUAAACCGACACAGGUGGUCAGGUAGAGAAUACCAAGGUGAGCGAGCGAACUAUGGUUAAGGAACUCGGCAAAAUACCCCCGUAACUUCGGGAGAAGGGGGGCC
rnacentral:rRNA from 11 species